rnacentral:rRNA from 1 species
AGAGUUUGCUCAUGGCUCAGAAAGAACGCUGGCGGCACGCUUUACACACACAAGUGCGAGCGCGCUCUUAGGUGAGAGCGGCGGACGGGUUAGUAACGCGUGGGAAUAUACCCUUCAGUAGGGAAUAACCUGGAAAAGGUGAGUAAUACCUUAUACGCCCUUCGGGGGAAAGAUUUAUCGCUGAAAGAUGGCCCGCGUUAGAUUAGAUAGUUGGUGAGGUAAUGGCUCUACCAAGUCGACGAUCUAUAGCUGGUUUGAGAGGAUGAUCAGCAACACUGGGA